GUUUGAUCCUGGCUCAGAACGAACGUUAGCGGCGCGCUUAACACAUGCAAGUCGUGCGAGAAAGGGGCAACCCCGGUAAAGCGGCGCACGGGUGAGUAACACGUAGGUAAUCUACCUCCAGGUGGUGGAUAACCUUUCCGAAAGGAGGGCUAAUACAGCAUGAGACCACGAUUUCGAAAGAGAUUGAGGUCAAAGUCGGCCUCUUCAUGAAAGCUGACGCCAGGAGAUGAGCCUGCGGCCCAUCACGGUAGUUGGUAGGGUAAUGGCCUACCAAGCCAAAGACGGGUAGCUGGUCUGAGAGGAUGAUCAGCCACACUGGAACUGAGACACGGUCCAGACUCCUACGGGAGGCAGCAGUGGGGAAUCUUGCGCAAUGGGUCGAAAGCCUGACGCAGCGACGCCGCGUGAGUGAUGAA
rnacentral:rRNA from 1 species